UUUAUCAAAAACAUGGCUCUUGUUGUUAUAAUAUAGGAAGUCGAGCCUGCCCGGUGAUAAUAUUUAACGGCCGCGGUACCCUGACCGUGCGAAAGGUAGCAUAAUAGUUUGCCCUAUAAUUGAGGGCUUGUAUGAAUGGUUUGACAAGAACAAAACUGUCUCUUACUAAUUUAAUAAAAUUUUAUUCUUAGGUGAAGAAGCCUAAAUUAAAUUAAAAGACGAGAAGACCCUAUCGAGCUUAAAGCAAAUUAAUAGAUUAAAAAAUAUUAAUAAAAAAUAAGCUAUUAAGUAUUUUAGUUGGGGCGACUAUGGAACAAAAAAAGCUUCCUAAAUCAAAAUAACUUACUAGUAAUGAUCCAUAAUUUUAUGAUAAAAGGAAAAGUUACCGUAGGGAUAACAGCAUAAUCUUCUUUGAGAGUUCAAAUCGAAAAGAAGGUUUGUGACCUCGAUGUUGGACCAAAAUAUCCUAAAGAUGCAGCAGUCUUUAAGGGUUGGUCUGUUCGACCAUUAAAAUUUUACGUGAUCUGAGUUCAGACCGGCGUGAGCCAGGUCAGUUUCUAUCUUUAAUUUUUAUUUUAAACUUAGUACGAAAGGAUCAGUUUAAAGUAACUUUUGCUUAUUAUGAUAUAAUAUAAUAUUAAAUUUAAAUUUUAAUAUCAGAUUAGCAAAAUUAAUGCGUCCGUCUUAGAAUCGGUUGAUAUAAGUUAAAUCUUUAUNUGAUC
rnacentral:rRNA from 1 species